AAAAGAUGGAGGAAUUCCCAGCAGAAUGCCACAUCAUCCAAAUGUGAAACUUCUGUGCCUCUGUCAAACAUCUGGAAAUGCUUCUGACUUGUACUCAAAAUAAGAACAUACAUGAAGACUGUUUGAAAUGGAAGGCUGUUCAGGAUCUCAGGAUAAUCAUUCUAACAGUCUCCAAAGUUUGCAGGGAAAUGAGUACCAUAAUUGAACUGUGAGGCAUUUCAUAACUGUCAAUGUUUAAAUGUGGAUCAAUAUCUAUACAGCCAAGGAAUAUAAAAUCUAAGUUGGCUAUCAUCUCUGUGAGAUGAUAUUUUGUACAAAUGUCCUUCACAGUAAAUUUGGAGGUACAAAGAAUAAUGCAAAGACCACCCUUCCCAGGGAGACAAAGGAAAUGUUUACCAUCCAAAGACACGUAGGUUCAGAAAACUCUUCCGAUGACAUUUGGCUUUAAGUGAGUGGUUUGUUGCCCUGAUCCCACUGCUAUUCUGAAUUAAAAACAAACAAAAACAAGAGAGCCCAUUUUGGCUCUAUGAACACAAAAAUGACAGAUCUCAGUUUGAACACAGCAAAAACUUGCCUGCUUCACCAAAUCCAAAAAUACUGGCUAAAGAUCAUACAUCCUCAAACAUCGCAGGUAACAAAUUCAAAACAAGAUAUGCAUUAGCACCAAAAAUGUCCAGCGUUACAGUUUUGGAGGUUGGAUUUGGUACUGGGCAUGCUGAGAUGACACUCAGUGAUCUGUAGCUGUCAGGAAGCAGGAAGAGUACAGCAUUCAGCUUCAGCUAGGAAGCAGGAGGACAAAGAUACCCGAACAUACUUCAUUUCAGCCUAAACCAAGGUUUGCACUGGUUAGAAUUGUAUGGGUAUACAAAAAAUGUUAGCAGAAGUUAUUACCAUGCUUUUAGAGUCAGAACCUCUCCUUACAAGUCCUUCCCCCUCUAAGUAAAAGACAGAUGGGAAUCCUUCACUUUCUGCCACUUUUUGCACUCUUAUUCUGCAGGAGUACACCCACAAAUAAUGCAGAAUUCUCUUCAGUGAGUGAAUUCCUUCAACAGAAAACACACUCACCGGGGUCAAUCCUAGCAAAGGAAAGGCUCAUGUCCUCUCAUGCUCUGCCUUUGCAUCCUCUUCUUCCUGUCUAACUGGGGAAAAAAAAAAAACAUUCCUACCUUGCAAAACAUCUGGACAAAAUUUUCACUUCCGCUUCCUACUUAAUCAGAUUCAUAAACUUAACAGACAAUCAGGUGAAAGUGGUAAUGGCCACCGAUGUUUUUAUAUGACCCCAUUCUGAUCUACACUGUCCCCAAAUAAAUUUGAUCCCCUAUGCGCUUUCCACAUGACGUGUCUGAGUGUGAUCUGUAAACUCUGAAGUUCUCAGGAAGGGCUCAUCCAAAGCAGCACUCAGAGGAAAGUACAUUUUGGAGGGCAGUCCAUCUUGCUCCAAAAGACGAUAUCCUCUGGCAGUAGUUUAGUAACUCAUGUCAGAUACUGCACGACGAGAAACAUAAUUACACAAGUCACAAUCAUGCCCCCAAUCAUGAAGUAUUUGUCUUGAAAGGCUCGCUUCUCAAUCAGCCGCAUUACUGUAUUGGAUAAGCCCAACGUGUUGGCAACAUCCAGGAUCUUCUUCUGAGUUCCCUUUAAUGUCACUCUCUGGUCCCUCAGCCCCUGAAGAAUGUUGGUCCCACUGCCAAUAAGAUCAUCC
rnacentral:lncRNA from 1 species